UCGGGAAUUUUGGGCAAUGGGCGAAAGCCUGACCCAGCAACGCCGCGUGAAGGAUGAAGUCUUUCGGGAUGUAAACUUCGUAAAAAUAGGAAGAAUAAAUGACGGUACUAUUUGUAAGGUCCGGCUAACUACGUGCCAGCAGCCGCGGUAAUACGUAGGGACCAAGCGUUGUUCGGAUUUACUGGGCGUAAAGGGCGCGUAGGCGGCGUGGUAAGUCACUUGUGAAAUCUCCGAGCUUAACUCGGAACGGUCAAGUGAUACUGCUGUGCUAGAGUACAGAAGGGGCAAUCGGAAUUCUUGGUGUAGCGGUGAAAUGCGUAGAUAUCAAGAGGAACACCUGAGGUGAAGACGGGUUGCUGGGCUGAUACUGACGCUGAGGCGCGAAAGCUAGGGUAGCAAACGGGAUUAGAUACCCGUGUAGUCCCUGAGCGGGCUGGCAAGGCGCAU
rnacentral:rRNA from 1 species